rnacentral:lncRNA from 1 species
UUUUUUUUCUUUCAGAUAUUAGUGUGCAUCACUCUAACUCUGUGCACAAUUGAGGCAUAUAAGACGGAGGACCCAGACCCUGGAAGCAGUCUGGAGAGGGAGUUCAAGGCGCUGUCGCUCGACGUCCUGCACACCGUCAGGAGGAAUGACUUCAGAUGUCCGAAUGUGUGCACGACCCUUCUCACCAGCACGUGCCAGAGCGAGUGCGAACGCCGUGGUCUGCCGUCGCUGCCCUGCCGCCUAUUCUGCUAUUCCUCUCAAGUGACCUGCUGCCACUGCCCCGAGUUCUGCCACUUUCCGUUCCAGGAGUGCUAUGCGAGCUGUCCAUUCCACGACACAGCUUGUAAGGACAGGUGUCUUCAAAUUGUUCAGUCGUGCUGUUCCUCCGCAGGGAAGUAGAUUAUAGAAAACGUGAUUGCUGUUAGGGGUGACUGAACGUAAUUAUUAAGGGGCGUGCUGUAGCCAGAAGUUAAUUAGUGUAUAUUGUAUAAUGCACUGUUUUUUUUUAGGAAGAGGAAGUGUGUAUUUGUCAUAUCAUUAUGCUAGAUAUUCUUCCGUUAGUAUAUUUAUUUAUUCAUUUAUUCAUCUUUUAUUAUUAUUAUUAUUAUUAGUUUAUUCCAACUUAAUAUUUUCAGCUUCACUGCCAAACAUUGUAUGGUUUAAUAAAGGUUAUACCAGUUGAUAUUGUUACUAUUUAUCACCCUAAAUAAACCACUAAAAUGACAUAUCAAAGAAUCAAAUAGUAUGAACAAUGAAGAAA